rnacentral:rRNA from 1 species
UACGUAGGGGGCAAGCGUUGUCCGGAAUCAUUGGGCGUAAAGAGCGUGUAGGCGGCCCGGUAAGUCCGCUGUGAAAGUCGGGGGCUCAACCCUCGAAUGCCGGUGGAUACUGUCGGGCUAGAGUGCGGAAGAGGCGAGUGGAAUUCCUGGUGUAGCGGUGAAAUGCGCAGAUAUCAGGAGGAACACCAAUUGCGAAGGCAGCUCGCUGGGACGUAACUGACGCUGAGACGCGAAAGCAUGGGGAGCGAACAGG